rnacentral:lncRNA from 1 species
AGCAGCACCAGCAAAUAAUAACUUAACCACAGCACAACAACGACGAAGAUUAUUACUUAUUAAACGCGCAAGGAAGAAAAAAGAAUAGAAAAGGGGAGGGGGGAUACCAAAGGAGGAGAGAGGGUGACAACAGCGACGUUUUCCUAAGACCCAGCGCUCCCCUUAACCUCGGGCUCUGUCCAAUUCCGAUACAUAUCAUCAGCAGCGGCGUCGGCGGCAGGAGGGAUCAGCAGCAGAGCCGCAGCAGCAGCAGCACAAACACUGAGAGUUUUUUUUAUAAGCGAGCUGCACCGGGGUGUAUAUUAGCCUCCUCGCCCUCCCCCUUUGCGUCGCCACUCCUUUCAGAACAUUAGCUAAUCUCCAGUGAGCAAACAAACUGAGGAAGAAAAUUCCUGCAAUGACGAGAGUAUCCGAUUGGCCGUUAGCUCAUCCGCGUCGCAGAAGUAAAAAAGAUCUGACACACACACAUGAUGAAAUGAAGUGAAAAGAAAAUAAAAUGCUCCAGCUUAUUUGCCA